rnacentral:rRNA from 1 species
AGGUAUGUUAAUAGCAUACUCAUUUGACGUUAGCUGCAGAAGAAGCACCGGCUAACUCCGUGCCAGCAGCCGCGGGUAAAUACGGGUAGGGUGCGAGACGUUUAAUCGGAAAUUACUGGGACGUAAAAGCGCAUGCAGGUGGUUUGUUAAGUACAGAUGUAGAAAAGGCCCCGGGGCUACAACCUACGGUAAUUGCUAUUUAGAAACUGGACAAACUAGAGUACUGUAGAGGGGGUAGAAUUUCAGGUGUAGCGGUGAAAUGCGUAGAGAUCUGAAGGAAUACCGGUGGCGAAGGCGGCCCCCUGGACAGAUACUGACACUCAGAUGCGAAAGCGUGGGGAGCAAACAGGAUUAGAUACCCUGGUAG